rnacentral:lncRNA from 1 species
UUUUUUUUUUUUUCUUUUAACAGCUGCAUCCGCGGCAUAUGGAGGUUCCCAGCUUAGAGUCAUAUCAGAGCUGCAGCUGCUGGCCUACACCACAGCCACAGCAAUGCCAGAUCAGCUACACCACAGCUCAUAGCAACACCAGAUCCUUCCCCCACUGAGUGAGGCCAGGGAUUGAACCUGCAUCCUCAUGGAUACUAGUCGGGUUCUUAAGCUGGUGAGCCACAAUGGGAACUCCUGUUUGAGCAUCUUGUGACGCUCGAUUCUAGAAAUGGGGAUCAGCCGUAAGAAGGAUCUGUGGGCUCCUUGCUCCUGGGAGCAGCCCUGCUGGCUCAGCAAGGCAGAAGGCGAGCUGGGUGGUCCAGACCCCCCUUUAAGGAAAGGCUCACUGCCUGACUGAGAGGACAGCCCAGCCACUAGCGAGUCCAAGGUCCCCUCAGCCUUCCAGCUGUGGCCAUGCUCUUCUUGGGGCUGGCCCUGGUCAAUGGCUGAGCAGGUGAUGGACCAAAGACCAAACCACUUCCAACCACAGCCAUUUCUCCAAUGGGCGAUUUCUGCUCCAAGCCCCCCAUGGGCUGCGAGGACUUUGGAGGUCUUCCCAUGCUGGAGGCCCUUCCUGCCCAAGCCGGCUUCCCCCCUUCCUUUUAGAAAAGUCACCCCCUACCCCAUUGCAGCAUCUGCUUCCUGGGGAACCCAUCCCACGUUUGGGGGACACAGAAACCAGGGCAAUUGCAAGUAAUAGCAUGUGCUGUGGAGAGAGCACAGGGCCAUAGGAUAGAGGUGGGCUUGGCAGGAGAGGGAAGGUCAGCUGAGGUCAAGGGCACCCACCUUCUCUGACACGGGAGCUGAGACAUGAAGGAGGAGGGGGAGGGGGGGUCAGGCAGAGUCAGGGCAUCGGAGAAAGGGGGGCAGGCAGUGUGGGGAGGAGGAGGUGUGUUAGAGGAAGAGGAAGGGGAGAGUGUGGCUGGACCACAGCAGCAAAUGAGGGGAGAGCAGUUCGAGGGGAGCACGGCAGUGAUGGGGGAGCAGGGCUGUGAUGAGAGGAGCAUGGCUAUGAUGAGGGGAGCACGGCUAUAAUGAGGGGAGCACAGCAGUGAUGGGGGAGCAGGGCUGUGAUGAGGGGAGCACAGCAGUGAUGACAGGAGCACAGCAGUGAUGGAGGAGCAGGGCUGUGAUGAGGGGAGCACAGCUAUGAUGAGGGGAGCACAGCACAGUGAUGACAGGAGCACAGCAGUGAUGGAGGAGCAGGGCUGUGAUGAGGGGAGCACAGCUGUGAUGAGGGGAGCACAGCAGUGAUGGGGGAGCAGGGCUGUGAUGAGGGGAGCACAGCAGUGAUGACAGGAGCACGGCUGUGAGUGACAGGGAGGUACAGGACAUGAACCAGUGAGGCCAACCGCGCCGUGUGCAUCACACCAGAGUCCAGUUUUUCUCAUCAGUGGAGUCAGAGGACGGCAGUCCUGUAUGUGCCAGGACCCCCGGGAAACCCAGACGCGAUGAAACAAUAAAACACAGCAAUACAUUGUGAUUGGAACACAACCAGGGGCAUAUCGCAAGAGCUGCCUCCCCCAUCGGGGCUGGGAGGGGAGCAGGGAGGGGAGCACGGGGCCGGGGCGGGGGGGCGGGGGUGGAGACGCGCUAGAGGCGACGGCCAGUUCUGGCCACUGGGAAGGCCACGACGGAAGGCAAAGGAUGAAAGCGUGCUGGCGUGUGGGGACCCACACGAGUUUGUUCAGAAAAGUGAAUCACACACCACCCUCGGGAGGCUAUUCACAGCAAGUCACGUGCUCCCCUCCUCAGAUGUGACAGUGACACAUGCGCAUGUCACUCUUCCGUGGAGCAGAGCCACGUCCCUGGAGCUGGGUGGGGGUGGGGAGCAGAAUUUCCUGAACCUGAGGAGCAGCCCCCAGCCCCGCCCGGACUCCUGGAACUUGGCAGGGAUUCCAGGGAGCCUUUCCCUAGGGCAGUGGUUCUCAGCUCGAGGCACUGGUCCCUGGCAAGGUCUGGGAACAUUUUUGACUUUUACCAUGUGGGGGGAAUGCUGCUGGCGUCUAGUGGGUAGAAGCCGGGGAUGCUGCUAAACAGCCCACAUGCAGGGGACAGCACCCCCACAUGCUCCUGGUGCUGAGGGGAGGCCAGCUGCCAGGGUGGGGAAGGGCAUCCUCCAGGUGCGCUUCCCAGGCCAGCAUCUUCAGCUUUACCUGGGAACCUGAGGAAUGCAAAUCCCGGGGCCCCACCCCAGGCUUCUCCACUUAUCCGCCUUGGGUAUUUAACCGCAAGGCCCGUUAGGGAAUUCUCAGCACUGGUCUGGAAGGAGAGCUCACCUUGCCCCUCGCUCAUAGUGAUCCCCGCGUUAGAGCCUUUAGAAAACUGGGAGCAAUGUUGCCUUCCUUUUGGGGGACAUGCGACAACAUCUGGACACAUUUUUUGGUUGUCGCAUAGUGAGGGGACGCUCCUAGCAGCCAGCAGGGAGAGGCCAGGGGUCUGCUAAAUGCCCUCCAUGCAUAGGACGGCCCCCCCGCACGUAGAAGGAUCCAGCCCCAUGUGUCAGUAAUGCCAAGUGGAGUUGGAGAAACCCUAUCCUAAAUCAAGAGCUAAAUCGGGAGGUCCCGUUGUGGCUCAGCGGGUUAAGAACCCGACUAGUAUCCAUGAGGAUGCGGGUUUGAUCCCCGGCCUUGCCCAGUGGGUUAAGGAUGCUGCGUUGCCGUGAGCUGUGGCAUAGGCCGGCAGCUGCAGCUUCAAUUCCACCCCUAGCUCGGGAACGUCCAUAUGCCGCCUGUGCGGCCCUAAAAAGCCCAACAACAACACAAGCCAAAGUGUGCAUCCCUGAACCCAGGGAUGCUUUCAGGCAGGUGUCUCAGAUGAGAGCGUGCGGCAGAAUCUGACAAACACCGAGGCCUUCCGUGUAUAAUCCUGAAAGUGCAAGCACAGCCCUGUCCUCCUUAUGAAAGUACCCAGAAAGAGUCUGCAGACUCCCUCGAGGGGGUCUCCUGAGGCGGGCUGGUAGGAUGAGCUGGGGUUCAGACCCAGCCAGAGUUGGGGUGGGGGGGCUGGGGGAGAUGACCCACCCCAAGGGACAUCCCUUCCAAGCGAGAGAGCAUUCCUAUGAUAAUAACGUGAAAUGUGGUGGAGCGCUGCCUUUUCAUUAAUUUUGGUCCCUUUCAAGACCACAGUUAUUAUUAUAAAAACACCGAUAAUACCAAACAUAUGUUGAAAGUACACAGCCGACGGCAGCCCUGGAGACCUGGGGACGUGCUAAGUCAUCUGUCAUCUGGGCUGGUGAGAAAUCAGCGGGCCCCCCUCCCCUGUGCCCUCAGAGACCCCAACACCCUGCUCAUUAGGCCUGCUCGCUUGCUCUAUUCCCGUUCAAGCCCCUUCCCAGCCCAGUCUCUCCCCUCCCAUCAAAGCUCAGCGCCCCCUCUCCCGCCCCUCGUGCUAGGGUAGAUUCUGGAGGUGUUGGGUCUCCAGAAAUCCCCGUUUAAUUAUUUUAUUGGAAAAAGAGGAGGGGGAGGGCCAAGCAAAGGCACGUUCUCUCAUUUUGGAAGAAUGCUUCAUUAUCUGCCUCUGCAGCGAGCGAAACACCUCUCUGGGCUGUAGGCAGUCCUGAGUUAUUACGUGAGACACCCAGGCGCCUCGCUUCCCUCUUCCCUGAAUCUCCCCCCAUCCACCACCCGCCCGCCUGCCCUGCUGGUUGAGGGGUGCAGCAGCACAGCCCCGCUUUCCGGUGAAGCCUGGGAAAGGCCAAGAAAUGCAGUACAGCACUGCGUUGUCAAAAGAGGCUGGGACCUGGCCCCGAGCCUGCACGACCUCCUCGCCUUGUGCCGAGAACUCUGAAAUACUCCCCAAGAAGCACAGUUGGGCUGGACAGGACCCUGGAGCACGUCUGGCUCCAUCUCUGCUCUUGCUAGGACCAUCUCUCCUGCAUCCUCGGACUCUCCUUCAUCACUUCCAGUUCCCAGGGGCCCCCUGGUUCCUUAAACAGCUCAAGUCCAAGUUGAGAGGUUAGGAAGUCCCUUCCUGGCUAAAACAGAACGAGAGAUACCUGCCAGGAAGGGUAGCACUUUGUGACCAGGUGACUUUGCAAAAGUCUCCCAUAGCCCCAGCCUCACUUAACAGCAUCUCCUCGUGGGGGUGACAGAGCAGAGGUUGUGAGCCCCAAGUGACAGAGGAGGAAGAUGAAACCUAAUGAAGUGAAGUGGCUUCUCCAGGUGCACACAGCAGUGACAAGGCAGGGUCACUGGGAGGCCAUGAGGCUCUUGUCCUCAGCAGGACAUUGUCACCUCGUGUCUGCUUCCUGAUCCGUCUCAGGGAAGGACAAUCCCCACCCACUUCUAACAGUGCCCUUCCCAAAUGCUCUCCGCCCCCCUCGGCUCCUGGACCACAUGGAGGGCGUGGCCCCUGUGUUCCUGAUGGCGCCUUCAUCCUCAGAAGGCGUCCACGGCCACGUUCAGAGCACUUGGCUUCGGGAUUACCAACCAGAUGCUCCUCUCAUGCCAGGUUGUCCCCAGGGAACAGGGGCUCCACCCCCGCCCUUGAACAUCUAGCUCUUCCUCCCACCAUGGUCCCUCCCCCACCCAAGGCACUGAAGGGCGGGCCAGGCUUCGACCGCAUCAUCUACGGAAAAACUAAAACCUCUUUCUCAUUGGUAGAGAAUUCUAUCCACCCCAACUUCUGAAGACCUGAGUGGGGAGUUUCUUGAGGACAGCCCCUUAAAAAUAAGAACACAAACGGGCCUUAUUGACUGCUGUAUGAUCAACUCAUGUUCACUCUCACAACUCCAGGAGGUGGGUGGUCUCUUUGUGCCCAUUCUACAGAUUAAGUAACUGAAGCACAGAGUCAGCAAGAAACUUGCUGGAGGUCACAUCACUGCAAGCUGGGGGAGUAUGAUUAGAGAAAGAAAGAAAGAAAGAAAGAAAGAAAGAAAGAAAGAAAGAAAGAAAGAAAGAGAAAGAAGGAAGGAAGGACAGACAGACAAUUACUGGGGGGGGGCCUUCAGGGAGACAGGGAGUUAAUAAGAGCUCAGACAGAAGCUAUUUCUCCAGGAAUAUUUCCAGGCGGAUAAAACCACCUUCUCAUUCUUCGGCGCGUCCUGCAGUUGUCAAAACCAGACAGCGUCUCAGUGAAGGACCUUGACCCACGUGUGCUUUGCCCAUAACCAUCCUUCCUCCCUUGCAUGUUCUGCCACAGCUGUGUGAGCGUCAUCAGCAUUAUAACAAAACACUCCCCAAAUCUCGGUGGUUUAGCACAAGGGAGCUUUCGUUUUCAUUCUUGUCACAAUCCAAAUGGAUGUUCGAUAGGGAGCCUUCCAAGUGGGACUUCGAGGAUUCCCGGGUCCCAGCUCCCUUGAUGUCGUCCUUCCUUGGGGACAGUGAAGGGGAAAAGCAAGCUCACGCAUCCCAUCAUGAGAACAUUUCACAGAGCCCUGGAAAUGGAAAGCCGCCACCCCACCCAUAGCGCGUCAUCAAGAAGCUGGUUGCAUGAAUGCCCAAACUAAUGACGGGGGCGCGGGCUGGUAAAUGCCGACUUCGGGGGCAGUAAAUGCCCCCAACUUCCUAGUGUCUAGGAAGAGACUAUGAGAUGGAACGCUCCUGGGGGGUGGGGGUGGGUCUCGACCACACCAGUGACUCCACUUCCAUAUCGUCAACUCUACCGCCAUUGCCUGCCCCCAGCAGUCACUCCAUGUCUCUUCAAAGGUAAUCCUCAGAAUGAAACCCAACUCCGCUAAGACAUGGCCUGCUCGGGCCAGGAGACCUUGUAGCAUCACCUUCCUGGAUCUGGGCCCCAUAUGUCCAUUAAGGCAGCCUACAAGGAUUUUAACAUUUUUAGCAACAGUCACACGGUUGGAUCAAAUUAGUCUUGUGGUCAACGAAAACCCCCAGAUCGCUUUCAUG